CCUACGGGUGGCAGCAGUGGGGAAUAUUGCACAAUGGGCGAAAGCCUGAUGCAGCAACGCCGCGUGAAGGAAGACGGUUUUCGGAUUGUAAACUUCUAUCAAUAGGGAAGAAAGAAAUGACGGUACCUAAAUAAGAAGCCCCGGCUAACUACGUGCCAGCAGCCGCGGUAAUACGGAGGAUGCGAGCGUUAUCCGGAUUUAUUGGGUUUAAAGGGUGCGUAGGCGGAAUGCCAAGUCAGCGGUAAAAUCGCGGGGCUCAACCUCGCUCCGCCGUUGAAACUGGCGUUCUUGAGUGGGCGAGAAGUAUGCGGAAUGCGUGGUGUAGCGGUGAAAUGCAUAGAUAUCACGCAGAACUCCGAUUGCGAAGGCAGCAUACCGGCGCCCAACUGACGCUGAAGCACGAAAGCGUGGGUAUCGAACAGGAUUAGAUACCCGGGUAGUC
rnacentral:rRNA from 1 species